GGCGAGAAGAACAAGGGGCAGAGGUACCCUGUGCCAUCGUGUGUCACGUGACACAAGAUUAUUUUGAAAAAAAUUAAUCAAACCCACGGGAAAGCAGUAAGAGUUUAGAAACCUAAACAUUUUCACGCAAACCCCUCUACAAAUCUUUGGCUCUUGAAUUAUCGUCGGCCGUCGCCCAACUCCCAACCGUUGUCUCCUUGUCGGAGUGACCCAGCACCGUUCCACCGCCGACCGCUGGUCACCCACGAUCCACAAAGAAACAAAGUUACGAGCCAGGGUCACUCAAAGAAACAGCAGCGAAGCAACCAACCAGUUUUGAAGCCGUCGUCGGCUCGUGGCCCUCGCUUCUCCGCCACCGCGCCACUGGUCGACUCGCCGCUUCUCGCUGACUCGUCGUUCCUCGCCGACUCGCCGUUGCAGGAUGGUAGAUAGAAGGAGAAUGGUAGAUAAAAGGAUUACAUGAAGGGCAUAGAUUGAAGUUCGUUUGGACUGAUUUGGACAAAUAAAUUAAAUACUAGAUAGAUUUUAGAUUGCUUAAACUAUAAGUUCUUUUUGGAGAUUCAUUAAUUUUCUUAAUUGAUGUAUUUAUAUUAUAACAAUGGUUUUUGUUAUUAGAAUGAUUGUUAUGGAUAUUUUAUUUUAAUAAUGAGUAAAACUUAAUUCAAAAUAAA